UACUGACACUGAGUGCGAAAGCGUGGGAGCAAACGGGAUUAGAUACCCCGGUAGUCACGCCGUAAACGAUGUCUACUAGCCGUUGGAGGACUUGAUCCUUUAGUGGCGCAGCUAACGCGAUAAGUAGACCGCCUGGGGAGUACGGUCGCAAGAUUAAAACUCAAAUGAAUUGACGGGGGCCCGCACAAGCGGUGGAGCAUGUGGUUUAAUUCGAAGCAACGCGAAGAACCUUACCUACUCUUGACAUCCAGUGAACUUUUGAGAGAUCAAUUGGUGCCUUCGGGAACACUGAGACAGGUGCUGCAUGGCUGUCGUCAGCUCGUGUUGUGAAAUGUUGGGUUAAGUCCCGUAACGAGCGCAACCCUUGUCCUUAGUUACCAUCAUUAAGUUGGGGACUCUAAGGAGACUGCCGGUGGCAAACCGGAGGAAGGCGGGGACGACGUCAAGUCAUCAUGGCCCUUACGAGUAGGGCUACACACGUGCUACAAUGGCAUGUACAAAGGGUUGCCAAGCCGCGAGGUGGAGCUAAUCCCAUAAAGCAUGUCGUAGUCCGGAUUGGAGUCUGCAACUCGACUCCAUGAAGUCGGAAUCGCUAGUAAUCGUGAAUCAGAAUGUCACGGUGAAUACGUUCCCGGGCCUUGUACACACCGCCCGUCACACCAUGGGAGUGGGUUGCUCCAGAAGUAGAUAGCUUAACCUUCGGGAGGGCGUUUACCACGGAGUGAUUCAUGACUGGGGUGAAGUCGUAACAAGGUAGCCGUA
rnacentral:rRNA from 1 species